AAACUUACCAGGUCAAGACAUGGGCGUGAUUGACAGGCUAAUGACUUUUCUCGAUUCCAUGGAUGGUGGUGCAUGGUCGCACUUAGUUGGUGCAGUGAUUUGUCAGGUUUAUUCCGGUAACGAACGAGACCUCGGCCUUGUAAAUAGCUAUGCUGCUUACAGGGACAUUGGCGGCUACGCCAAGGAAGCUCGAGGCAAUUGCAGAUCUGGAAUGCCCUUAGAUGUCCUGGGUCGCACGCGUGCUACAAUGACGCCACGAACGAGCUUGCGUGAUGAAAGUUACGCAUAAUCAGCAGUCGGCGUCUUAAGGGAUAGUCUCUUGUAACUGUGGGACUCCAACUAGGAAUGUCUCGUAAGCACAAGUCAACAUCUUGUGUUGAUUACGUCCCUGCUCUUUGUACACACCGCCCGUCGCUCCUACCGAUCGAGUGUUUAGGUGAAUUUGAUGGACGUAAGGAAGUCAAAUAAACCUGAGCACUAGAGAAGAGAAGUCGAGAUGA
rnacentral:rRNA from 1 species